rnacentral:rRNA from 1 species
UACGGAGGGUGCAAGCGUUGUUCGGAAUUACUGGGCGUAAAGGGCGCGUAGGCGGUAUAAUAAGUUAGGUGUGAAAUCUUCGGGCUUAACCCGGAAAGUGCACUUAAAACUGUUAUACUAGAGUUCGGGAGGGGAAAGCGGAAUUCCUAGUGUAGAGGUGAAAUUUGUAGAUAUUAGGAAGAACACCGGUGGCGAAGGCGGCUUUCUGGAACGAUACUGACGCUGAGGCGCGACAGCGUGGGGAGCAAACAGG